rnacentral:rRNA from 1 species
GACGAACGCUGGCGGCGCGCUUAACACAUGCAAGUCGAGCGAGAGCCAGGGCUUCGGCUCUGGGGACAGCGGCGAACGGGUGAGUAACACGUGAGUAAUCUGCCCUCGACACUGGGAUAGCCCGGGGAAACCCGGAUUAAUACCGGAUAGCCUUUCGAGCUCUCGGGCUCGUCAGAAAAGGAUGGCUUCGGCUUUCGGUUGAGGAUGAGCUUGCGGCGGAUUAGCUUGUUGGUGAGGUAACGGCUCACCAAGGCGACAAUCCGUAGCUGGUCUGAGAGGACGAUCAGCCACACUGGGACUGAGACACGGCCCAGACUCCUACGGGAGGCAGCAGUGGGGAAUCUUGCGCAAUGAGCGAAAGCUUGACGCAGCGACGCCGCGUGAGGGGAAGAAGGCCU